rnacentral:lncRNA from 1 species
ACUGACACUUUUCGGACUCAGCCUGCCUGCACCCAGGUGAUUAAAAGCUUUAUUGCUCACACAAAGCCUGUUUGGUGGUCUCUUCACAUGGAUGCGCAUGAAAUUUGGUGCGGUGACUCGGAUCGGGGGACCUCCCUUGGGAGAUCAAUCCCCUGUCCUCCUGUUCUUUGCUCCGUGAGAAAGAGCCACCUACGACCUCAGGUCCUCAGACCAACCAGGCCAAGAAACAUCUCACCAAUUUCAAAUCCGGGGAGAGGGAAAAUCAUUUGGGGACAGCCAACUUCUUCCUUGAGCGGUGCAGUUAUAAUCAUGCAUUGUGCCCUCUGUGAGUGCUUCUUUCUCCUUUGAAAUUCUUCAGUGGGUUCUUCAGCAUCGCCCACUCUGUUGCUGGAGACCACCCAUUGUGCCCUUGGAUGGCGUGCCCAAUAUCCUUGGCCAGCUGGCUGCAUUCCCCACUCAGCUACUGAUUGUUGAUUGUUGUGCUUCACGAACUUCCCGCUGAGCGUCCUCUCAUCCUGGGGUGGAGAGCAGGCCCAUCACGGGGCUCCCACCUGCCUGCCUGCCAUACUGUCCAUGCCAGUGCCUGAGAAACACCGCCUCUGCUCCACUUUCAGUGGGAACCAGCGUUUUGCACCCCCCUCCAUAGCCUUUUCUCUUCACUCUACCACCUGAAGCAAUUCCCACUGGGCCGCUUCUUCACCUUUAAGUUUUCCAGGAGAAGACAAGGAGAUGGAGAGACUGUCAACCUAGAACCAGUAAUGACCAGUUCCAACUUAAUUACAGAAAGGGAGAAAAGAUCAAUCAUUUAAGUUGCUUCAUCGUCUAAAUAAAAGUGUUUUGGCUGUUGAAACAUGAA